CAGGAUCUCUACCCACGAACCCAGGCCACCAAAGGGGAACACGUGGAAUCUAACCACUAUGCCUUGGGACUGGGCCUUGCCUUGCUUAUUUUUUGGACUUGAAUGCUCAGGAAAGUUUCCAAACUCUAAGUGUACCUACUCAGUGCAGUGUGCACCAACUGGAAAGACAAGAAAGAGGAUUGAUCCAUCAAUGUCCUCUUUCCAAAUGCCUAAAUUAAAUAAAUGAAUUUUCUCAAAGGUCUUUGUUGCUUUUAGAGAUUGUGAUCUCCCAGUAUACACACUGCUAAUAUGUGUCCUGCUGGGAAUGCUCUACCAGGCUUGUUGCUAAAUGUGUUCAAAUCCCUGCUGUGUCCCUUCUACUCAAGCAUUGUUUCAUUUUGUCUGUUUAUAAAGGAGGCUGCACCAUGACCCUAAAUUAGGAGAUUCCUUGGAUUGCCUUGACCCCAGGAGUAAUUUUCCCUGUGAUGUGAUGACUUGCUGAGUCCUAGGGAGGGAACUGAAGUUUGCAGCUGACCCUGGAGGAACCUUUGCCCCUUCCAAUACUCCGCAGGCUGUUGUGCUAUCAGUGUCACCCUUGCUGGGGACACUGCUAUUGGCCAUGUCUCUGUGGAAUGACUGUGUUCUCAGCAUCCACUUCAAUCUUCCCUCCAUCUGAAUCAGAAUGUUCUAGAGAAACACUUGACUCAAUGCUGCCCAUUGUAUUGUUCCAUCUCCAGAGGACCUGCCGCUGUUCCAGUGAAAGCUUUAAUCUCCGUUCUCCUUCCAAGUUCUCAAGCUGCUGCCGACUUGACUUUCAACUCCACAUUUCCUGUGCUUUGGGUUUUUUGAGUAAAUGAGAGAGACCUGAGCCUGGUGCUGCCUCCUCCUGGUGGAAUGAGAAUGUGGAUGCAGCUCAAGAGAGGCCCAGAUGAGCUCCUGGAUUCUUUGCCAGUUCGUCAGCUACAGCAGCUGUUACAUCAUUGCAACAUUUCCACAAAUAUUCACAGGGAGAAAAAAGGUCAUCUCAUAUGAGACUUGCUGCAAAACCUAAAACUUUCAGUCAUCUUUUGCUUUCAGUUUGUGGCUUUGUACUUUUAAGGGGAAACUGACUGGCAGAAACCAUAACGGAAAAGAAACAGCUCUAUGAAUGGGCAGAACAGCUUAAUGACGAGUAAUGAGGGGGAGCACACUGGGGUUUUCUACACUGGAAGGAACGAAAGGACUGUGAUACGGGAGUGAAAGAACGAGAUCCACGAAAGCAGAGAGGAAGGGGGAACUGUGCCAGGUAUCAGAA
rnacentral:lncRNA from 1 species